rnacentral:rRNA from 1 species
AUUGAACGCUGGCGGCAUGCUUUACACAUGCAAGUCGAACGGUAACAGGGAGCUUGCUCCGCUGACGAGUGGCGAACGGGUGAGUAAUGCGUCGGAACGUGCCGAGUAGUGGGGGAUAACGCAGCGAAAGUUGUGCUAAUACCGCAUACGUACUGAGGUAGAAAGUGGGGGACCUUCGGGCCUCACGCUAUUCGAGCGGCCGACGUCUGAUUAGCUAGUAGGUGAGGUAAAGGCUCACCUAGGCGACGAUCAGUAGCGGGUCUGAGAGGAUGAUCCGCCACACUGGGACUGAGACACGGCCCAGACUCCUACGGGAGGCAGCAGUGGGGAAUUUUGGACAAUGGGCGAAGGCCUGAUCCAGCCAUGCCGCGUGCAGGAUGAAGGCCUUCGGGUUGUAAACUGCUUUUGUACGGAACGAAAAGACUCCUUCUAAUAAAGGGGGUCCAUGACGGUACCGUAAGAAUAAGCACCGGCUAACUACGUGCCAGCCGCCGCAGUAAAAC